rnacentral:rRNA from 1 species
AGAGUUUGAUCAUGGCUCAGAUUGAACGCUGGCGGCGUGCCUAACACAUGCAAGUCGAGCGGUAACAGGCGUAGCAAUACGUGCUGACGAGCGGCGAACGGGUGAGCAAUGCUUCGGAAUCUGCCCAAUGAUGGGGAAUAACCAGUCGAAAGAUUGGCUAAUACCGCAUACGCCCUUCGGGGGAAAGCGGGGGAUCGCAAGACCUCGCGUCGAUGGAUGAGCCGAAGUCGGAUUAGCUAGUUGGUAGGGUAACGGCCUACCAAGGCGACGAUCCGUAGCUGGUCUGAGAGGACGACCAGCCACACUGGGACUGAGACACGGCCCAGACUCCUACGGGAGGCAGCAGUGGGGAAUAUUGGACAAUGGGGGCAACCCUGAUCCAGCGACGCCGCGUGUGUGAAGAAGGCCUGCGGGUUGUAAAGCACUUUUAGUGGGGAUGAAAAGCACAUCAUUAACACUGGUGUGUCUUGACCUAACCCAAAGAAAAAGCACCGGCUAACUCUGUGCCAGCAGCCGCGGUAAUACAGAGGGUGCGAGCGUUAAUCGGAAUUACUGGGCGUAAAGCGUGCGUAGACGGCUAUCUAAGUCGGGUGUGAAAGCCCCGGGCUCAACCUGGGAAUUGCAUUCGAGACUGAAUAGCUAGGGUGCGGUAGAGGGGAAGCGGAAUUUCCGGUGUAGCGGUGAAAUGCGUAGAUAUCGGAAGGAACAUCAGUGGCGAAAGCGGCUUCCUGGACCAGCACCGACGUUCAGGCACGAAAGCGUGGGGAGCAAACAGGAUUAGAUACCCUAGUAGUCC